AUUGAACGCUGGCGGCAUGCCUUACACAUGCAAGUCGAACGGUAACAGGUCUUCGGAUGCUGACGAGUGGCGAACGGGUGAGUAAUACAUCGGAACGUGCCUAGUAGUGGGGGAUAACUACUCGAAAGAGUGGCUAAUACCGCAUGAGAUCUACGGAUGAAAGCAGGGGAUCGAAAGACCUUGUGCUACUAGAGCGGCCGAUGGCAGAUUAGGUAGUUGGUGGGAUAAAAGCUUACCAAGCCGACGAUCUGUAGCUGGUCUGAGAGGACGAUCAUCCACACUAGGACUGAGACACGGCCCAGACUCCUACGGGAGUCAGCAGUGGGGAAUUUUGGACGAUGGGCGAAAGCCUGAUCCAGCAAUGCCGCGUGCAGGAUGAAGGCCUUCGGGUUGUAAGCUGCUUUUGUACGGAACGAAAAGCCCUGGGUUAAUACCCUGGGGUCAUGACGGUACCGUAAGAAUAAGCACCGGCUAACUACGUGCCAGCCGCCGCCGUAA
rnacentral:rRNA from 1 species